UACGGAGGGGGCUAGUGUUGUUCGGAAUUACUGGGCGUAAAGGGCGCGCAGGCGGCUUGGCAAGUCGAGUGUGAAAUCCCUUGGCUUAACUAAGGAAUGGCGCUCGAAACUACCUCGCUAGAGGACGGGAGAGGGAAGUGGAACUCUCGGUGUAGGGGUGAAAUCUGUAGAUAUCGAGAGGAACACCGGUGGCGAAGGCGGCUUCCUGGCCCGUACCUGACGCUGAGGCGCCGAAAGCGUGGGGAG
rnacentral:rRNA from 1 species